UACGGGGGGGGCAAGCGUUGUUCGGAAUUACUGGGCGUAAAGGGCUCGUAGGCGGCCAACUAAGUCGGACGUGAAAUCCCCAGGCUCAACCUGGGAACUGCGUCUGAUACUGGAUGGCUUGAAUCCGGGAGAGGGAUGCAGAAUUCCAGGUGUAGCGGUGAAAUGCGUAGAUAUCGGGAGGAAUACCAGCGGCGAAGGCGGCCUUCUGGACGGUGACUGACGCUGAGACGCGAAAGCGUGGGGAGCAAACAGG
rnacentral:rRNA from 1 species